UGAGGAAUAUUGGUCAAUGGGGCGAGAGCCUGAACCAGCCAAGUAGCGUGCAGGACGACGGCCCUAUGGGUUGUAAACUGCUUUUAUACGGGAAUAAAGUGAUGCCUGCGGGCGUUAUUGCAUGUACCGUACGAAUAAGCAUCGGCUAACUCCGUGCCAGCAGCCGCGGUAAUACGGAGGAUGCGAGCGUUAUCCGGAUUUAUUGGGUUUAAAGGGUGCGCAGGCGGCGCGAAAAGUCAGCGGUCAAAGUUCCGGGCUCAACCCGGUGACGCCGUUGAAACUUUCGGGCUGGAGUUCGUGCGAGGGAGGCGGAAUGCGUUGUGUAGCGGUGAAAUGCAUAGAUAUGACGCAGAACCCCGAUUGCGAAGGCAGCUUUCCAGCACGCGACUGACGCUGAGGCACGAAAGCGUGGGGAGCGAACAGGAUUAGAUACCCUGGUAGU
rnacentral:rRNA from 1 species